rnacentral:rRNA from 1 species
UACGAAGGGGGCUAGCGUUGCUCGGAAUCACUGGGCGUAAAGGGCGCGUAGGCGGCCAUUCAAGUCGGAGGUGAAAGCCCAGGGCUCAACCCCUGGAAUUGCCUUCGAUACUGUUUGGCUAGAGACCGGAAGAGGGAAGCGGAAUUUCCGGUGUAGCGGUGAAAUGCGUAGAUAUCGGAAGGAACACCAGUGGCGAAAGCGGCUUCCUGGUCCAGCACCGACGUUCAGGCACGAAAGCGUGGGGAGCAAACAGG